GUUUUGUUCCUGCUUCUCUCUGUUCGGCUGCUGCUCGACCAGAAUCCGGAUAUUUAUGACCGAACUUCCACCCAUCACACCUUUCUACUGAUUUUUUUGGGGGGGUUCACAUUUGUGCUUCCACUCUGCUGAUGUUGCUGAAGCUGCUGCUGAAGGAAGAGUUCAGGCUUCACCAUCACCACCACACCACAGAAGAAAAGCUAGCAAACAGAACACUGAAAAAACAUAAGAAGAAGAACAAGAAGAAGAACGAGGAGGAGGAGGAGGAGGAGGAGGGGUUGCUGUUGAUUCUGCCUCCCUCUCUCCUCACCCUCUUCUGCAUCACCUCCUCCUUCCACCUCGGCUCCAUCGUCAGCAUACUGCCCUCCUUUUCCUGUACAGCAAAGACGCAGCCCGGACCACCAUCUUAGAGAAACGCUGGCACGAAAUGGAAGCGCGAGGAUCGACCAGCACAGGUGAUCGCUGAGGGCAGGAAACGACCCUGGACGUCUGCAGAUGUGGAUCAGCGAUGUCCACUUGUCCACACUGUCUGUGGACACAAAGCUAAAGACUUUGGAUGAACUGGUCCCAAAAUGGGCUCCUCCAGCUAGAUAGAGAAUGUGAUGUUGAGGCCUAGCCCACCUUUAGUUGGAUUUCUGUUUUGCUAUAGUUGCUAGGACCUGUGAAUGUGAGACCCACGACAGCAGUGAAUUACUCUGCACUGCGAUUGGACGGCUCCAUGUGUCAGCUGGCACAGUGGCGAAGGAGCGAGCUGUCGUCUUUAUACUCUAUGCAACCGAUUCAUCUUUCACUUUGUUUUCAUGAAAGUGGACACACACACUCACACACAAAUGCCAUUCUGUAUUUUUGAUGUGUGGGCUACCAGCUUAUAAAGAUUUCUUUGGGAAAAUAUUGUGUGCGUGCGUGUGUGUGUGUGUGUGUGUGUGUGUGUGUGUGUGUGUGUGUGUGUUGACUCAGUCAGAUUUGACCCUGCAGCUAAAGUGCGAGCAAACCUGUUGUCCCAUUCACGAUGACAACAGCGUGAACGUGCUAGAUCAGCAGGAAAUGGUAGAGCUGGGCCGCGGUGUGUGUUCACACACACACGUGCACUAUUCCAGCCUUCCCAGCAGGCUUUGAUCUUGUACCUGCACGGCUGCAACAAUACAUCUUUUGGGUGAGACAUGACAAAUACUCUGUCCUAAUUUCCUGUCCUCAGCUUUAACAACACACACACACACACGCACACACACACACACACACAGACUUAAUAAAUCAAGUAAUAUCAGGCUAAUUCAUUUUAUAUUAAUUUUUGGAAAGUGGCAAAUUUUUUUAUUACGACUGAUAAUCUAUGCAAAUCUUUUAAAUAUUACUUUAAACAAUCUGUGUCUGUGCAGCCCUUUUGCAAUUGAUUCAAGGGAGACUUAUCUUGGCCUAAUUUAGAAAAUGUAUUCUUUUGAUAAUCAUGCACAUCCCUGCGCUCGAGACAAUUACUUAUCUGCCUGGAUAAGCUUGAAAUUAUGUUUUUAAUCUUUUGGGGAGAAAAAAGUCUUUCCUCUGAUAUCAGUCCAGAUGCAUUGAAACCAUAAAUUGUGGUCUAAAAAAUUAAAUUGUUGCACUAAAUCUCUCUAUUUCUUUCUCUUCUUAAGUGCAGAUCAAAUAGAUCUGUUCUGCUGGAGCUUGGUGAAGAGUAUAGCUUCAUUAGAGAUGUUGACGUUACGUCAUGUGCAUUCACGUGUUCACCAGAUGUGCCUUUUUUAACGGAAUAAUGUGAUGACGCUAAUAAAGGUUGACACUGAAAACAAACCUGGAAAAAUGUUUUUUGUAAAAUUCAU
rnacentral:lncRNA from 1 species